rnacentral:rRNA from 1 species
CAAUAGCGUAUAUUAAAGUUGUUGCAGUUAAAAGCUCGUAGUUGGAUUUCUGGGAGGGUGCCAAUGUCCGUCGUCGUACGUGUUGCAGCGGCGCCCUUCCAUCCUUCUGUUAACGACUUUGGGCAUUCAUUUGCCGGAGUCGGGCUCAGAUAUUUUACCUUGAGAAAAUUAGAGUGUUUCAGGCAGGCUAGGCCGGAAUACAUUAGCAUGGAAUAAUGGAAUAGGACUACGGUCUCUUUGUUGGUUUGAGGGACUGCAGUAAUGAUUAAUAGGGACAGUCGGGGGCAGUUUGUAUUCAAACGACAGAGGUGAAAUUCUUGGACCGUUUGAAGACAAACUACUGCGAAAGCAUUUGCCAAGGAUGUUUUCAUUGAUCAAGAACGAAAGUUAGGGGAUCGAAGAUGAUUAGAUACCA